rnacentral:rRNA from 1 species
CCGCAUCUGUGCAUGCAGCAUAUCAAUAAGCGGAGGAAAAGAAACUAACAAGGAUUCCCUUAGUAACGGCGAGUGAAGCGGGAAGAGCUCAAAUUUGAAAUCUUCAAGGUUUUACCUUGACGAAUUGUAGUUUAAAGAAGUGUUUUCUGCUGAAGUUUUGGUAAAAGUUCUUUGGAAUAGGACAUCAUAGAGGGUGAGAAUCCCGUAUUUGACCAUUAUUUUCAGCUUUGUGAUACACUUUCAAAGAGUCGGAUUGUUUGGGAAUGCAGUCCAAAAUGGGUGGUAAAUUUCAUCUAAAGCUAAAUAUUGGCGAGAGAUCCGAUAGCGAACAAGUACCGUGAGGGAAAGAUGAAAAGAACUUUGAAAAGAGAGUUAAACAGUACGUGAAAUUAGUCAAAAGGGAAGCGUUUGACACCAGUGUUGUUUUCUCGAAAAUCAAUUAAAAAUGGCUCGAUUUUGUAUUGCUGAGACCUUAAAAGCUCACUGUACAUUUUUCGUGUCUUUUUUAAUGCACUUUUCGUUUAACAAGUCAACAUCAGUUUCUUUUGUUGUAAAAGGGUCAUUGGAAGGUGGCUUUCUUUUCGGAGAAAGUGUUUAUAGCCUUUGGCCUCUGCAAUCGGAGAGACUGAGGUCUGCAGCGUAGACUCUUCGGGGUUAGAUACAUUUGUGCUAAGUUAUAGCUUUUUAUAGACAACUUGUUGACUAUAAUUAGUCUUGUAGCUUACUCGCUUAUGCUAUUUUACCUACGCUUAGGAUGUUGACACACGCGCGUGCUCGACUCUAUACAUGACUCUGUGCAUAUCAAUAAGCGGAGGAAAAGGAUGUUGAUUACCUACGCUUAGGAUGUUGAUAGUCACAGCGUGUAC